rnacentral:snoRNA from 1 species
AACCCAUGGUGAGGGCACCUUCUCAACAGAUCCUUGUAUCUCUCCCAUGCAUAGUAGAGUGUUUUUAGAUUCAUCUGCACAAAAGAAGAGAUAUCAUUCCUCAACUU